AUGCAGAUUUCUGUGAAGGCCCUAUGGGAAAGAACAUCACGUUCAAGGUUGAACCUUCCGACACUAUAGAAAAUGUCAAGGCCCUGAUGCAGGAUAAGGAGGGGAUUCCUCCUGAUCAUCAAAGGCUGAUUGGUCUUUGAUGGUGAUCAGAUGGAAUAUGCCAUAUUUUCUCUUGACUACAACAUUCAAAAGCAAUUCACCUUUCAUCUUGUGUUGAGACUUUGUGGUGGUGCUAAGAAAAGAAAAAAGAAGAAGUCUCACACCACUCCCAAGAAGAAUAAGCAUAAGAGGAAGAAGGUUAAGUUGGCUGUGCUGAAAUACUAUAAAGCAGAUGACCAUGGCAAAAUCAGUUCCUUCCUGAAACAUGUCCUUCUCAUAAAGAUUGUGCCGGUGUUUCCAGAGCUAGCCACUUUGACAGGCACUGCUCUGGCAUGUGUUAUCAGACUUACUGCUUCAACAAACCAGAAGACAAG
rnacentral:lncRNA from 1 species